UGCCCAGCAACUUCUAUCCCUACCUCCACGUGGUACCGGCUGGAAACUACGAGCAACCUUAGGGAAGAUCGGGUAACCAGCACCGCCCGGUGGGAACGUUGGUUGUAGGCUGACAGGGAAGG
rfam:Aedes albopictus isolate Foshan contig36049, whole genome shotgun sequence.